GACAGAGGUGGCAAGCGUUGUUCGGAAUCACUGGGCUUAAAGGGCGCGUAGGCGGUCUGUAAAGUGUGGGGUGGAAUUCUGCGGCUUAACCGCGGGACUGCCCUGCAGACUUACGGGCUUGAGUCAGCGAGGGGAAGGCGGAAUUCCCGGUGUAGCGGUGAAAUGCGUAGAUAUCGGGAGGAAGGCCUGUGGCGAAGGCGGCCUUCUGGCGCUAGACUGACGCUGAGGCGCGAAAGCGUGGGGAG
rnacentral:rRNA from 1 species